AGAUUGACAAGAUAUGAUAUGCCACAAAUAGAUGAGAACAACAAUAAAGUAGAAUGUAGCCAUAUUUGUCACCAAACUCUCUGUGUCAAUCCUGAACACAUAACUAUUGAACCUCAUGCUAUAAAUCAAGACCGCCUACAUUGUAAAAAUCAGGGCCAUUGCUCUAAAAGUCACAAGCCAUAUUGUUUAAUAUGUAAUUUAAUAAAUAAAUAUUUAUUUUCUAACAGAUCUUUUUCUCUUUCGGUCAUUUCUGCUGUAUGAAUGGUCACUAUGUUUCUGCGGAGUAGAUUUCAGUCCUUGAUCACAUUUUAGCAACAUAUUUUUUUCAUAUUCUAUUAUUUCACUUAGUUUUUCAUACAGUUUGUACAGUUUAGCCCUUUUAUCACUUCUAAAUUGCUUGUAUUGCAUAGUCUUUUUGUGCUGUUUUUGUAAAAUGUCAACUUUUUGUAUUUCUUUUAGAGCCUUGUAUGCAGAGCCUCCCACUGGGACUUCACAAUGAAGAGCAGUACAAAGUUCUAGAACUGAUUCUCCUGGACCAAAAUUAACACUGUGAGCAGCUGAAUGAGCACGACCGCAGGAUUCCUGUUUUUUUUUGGAACAGAGACCUCAUCAGACUUUGGUCGCAGUAGUUUGGCCGCACGAGCAGACCGCCUGGCUUUUUCCUCUGGAUCAGUGUAUGGAUCAUUUACUACUAAAUUGUACUUUUUCAUG